rnacentral:rRNA from 1 species
GACGAACGCUGGCGGCGUGCUUAACACAUGCAAGUCGAACGGAAAGGCCCCCACCUUGGUGGGGGUGCUCGAGUGGCGAACGGGUGAGUAACACGUGGGUGAUCUGCCCUGUACUUCGGGAUAAGCUUGGGAAACUGGGUCUAAUACCGGAUAGGACCAUGGUUUAGUGUCUCAUGGUGGAAAAAUAUUGUUUUGGUGCAGGAUGAGCUCGCGGCCUAUCAGCUUGUUGGUGGGGUAAUGGCCUACCAAGGCGUCGACGGGUAGCCGGCCUGAGAGGGUGGACGGCCACAUUGGGACUGAGAUACGGCCCAGACUCCUACGGGAGGCAGCAGUGGGGAAUAUUGCACAAUGGGCGCAAGCCUGAUGCAGCGACGCCGCGUGGGGGAUGACGGCCUUCGGGUGGUAAACUCCUUUCGUUAGGGACGAAGCCACACCUUUUUUGGGUGUGGUGACGGUACCUUUGUUAAGAAGCACCGGCUAACUACGUG